rnacentral:lncRNA from 1 species
ACGGACUGUAUUUGGCAGACUGAGGAUUGUAGCUUGGGGAUGUAGGACUAUAGGUUGGUGAAGUUGGGCUAUAACUUGGUGAAGUUGGACUAUAACCAGGAGAAGUGGGGCUAUAGGCUGGUGAAGUGGGGCUGUACGAUGGAGAAGUGGGGCUGUAUGACGGUGAGGUAGGGCUGUACGAAGGUGAUGUUGGGCUGUAGGAAGGAGAGGUUGGGCUGUACGAUGGUGAAGUGGGGCUGUAUGCAGGUGAGGUGGGGCUGUAUGCAGGUGAGGUGGGGCUAUAUGCCGGUGAGGUGGGGCUAUAGCUUGGUGAAGUUGGACUGUAACUGGGAGAAGUGGGGCUGUAACUUGGAGAGGUCGGGCUGUAGCUUGGGGAUGUUGGGCUGUAACUUGGGGAGGUUGGGCUAUAGCUUGGUGAAGUAGGUGAGUACGAUGGACUGGUAGGAGAAUAGGCAGGACUGGUUGGACUAUAACCAGGAGAACUUGGACUAUAAGUUGGUGAGGUAGGGCUAUAUCCAGGCGAGGUGGGACUGUAUCCAGGUGAAGUUGGGCUGUAUCCAGGUGACGUGGGACUGUAUCCAGGAGAUGACGGACUGUAGCCUGGUGAUGAUGGGCUGUAUCCAGGUGAUGAAGUAGGAGAGAAGGCCAUUCCACCAACAUAAGGAGAAAACUGGGCAUCCGUGACCGGGGACAGACGGAGAUUUGGGCUAAACAAGUAACCUGGAGACAUC